UUCGGCACCUAUAAUUUUAGAUAAUAAGUCCUGGAUUAAGACGAUUUCUACACAUUGCAGAUGUCUUCGUUUUUUCAACGAAUGCUCUGACAGAUUAGUUAAACAUUACCCACUCUUCUUAUUUUUAAUUUCCCAAGAGAAUUCUGAGACUAUCAUAAACACCUUACUGAAACUUUCUUCGCAUUGACGGAACCAGAGAGUAACUGCGCCUUAGAUCUGGGAUAUCUCCAGCUCCUGCCGGCUGAUAUGAUCAGUUUCAAAGAGAGACUUCUAAGAGUGGCUGCUACGAAACAUUAUUAAGAUUUUUAUAAGCUUGCAUUCUGUCAAGAGGCUACUUUGUAAGAUAAUAGCGAAAGACGCAUAUAUUAUUUUAUCUGUUUAGCUAAUUUCCUGCUCAGAUUGUAAAUCAAUUUAUUUGAAUUUGUACACAUUCGUAUGAAUGUAUACCACAAUAAAUUAUGUUUGCUUUAAAUUUCUAAAAACGAAAUUAAGAUAAAAAAAAUGCUGUUCUGUUUUAUAAAA